UAGUCUGCAACCCGACUACAUGAAGCUGGAAUCGCUAGUAAUCGCGGAUCAGAAUGCCGCGGUGAAUACGUUCCCGGGUCUUGUACACACCGCCCGUCACACCAUGGGAGUCGGAAAUGCCCGAAGUCUGUGACCUAACCGAAAGGGAGGAGCAGCCGAAGGCAGGUCUGAUGACUGGGGUGAAGUCGUAACAAGGUACC
rnacentral:rRNA from 1 species